UUGUAGCUCAGUUGGUUAGAGCGCGCGCUUGAUAAGCGUGAGGUCGGAGGUUCAAGUCCUCCCAGGCCCACCAGUUUAUCCAUUACUUUCAUAAGUGCUUUUAAAAAAUAAGUACUUCUAAAAAGAUUGCUUCUAAAAAGCUUAUCAAAAUUGGCAGGCUUAUUGCUUUUGUGUGAGUAAUCCAAAGUUAAAGCAAAUUAAUGGCAAAAAAACAGUUCAAAUGCUAAAUACUAAGGAGUCAAAAUUCCUUGCAAAGUGAUUUUUACAGCGUCCAUUUGGUUGAUAUAAAUUCCAAAUGCUCAUAGACGUCAAUGCCUAUAUGAAACUAUCGGUUCAAUCAUAUCGCUUUGAGUUAUAUAGAUUUUGUAAUCCCUCUUUUGAUCGUUUUAAACGCUUUAUCCUGAUUUAGGGGCCGUAGCUCAGCUGGGAGAGCACC
rnacentral:misc_RNA from 1 species